CGAUGGUGGCCUUUUUGGGGACAGAUGUCCGUGUCGCGCGCUUCUGAGUCGGCGGUGUGGCCGGUGCCUCGACCCCCUGCCCCCGGGAG
rnacentral:sRNA from 1 species